GAUGGACGCUGGCGGCGUGCCUAAUACAUGCAAGUCGAGCGAACGGACGAGAAGCUUGCUUCUCUGAUGUUAGCGGCGUACGGGUGAGUAACACGUGGAUAACCUACCUAUAAGACUGGGAUAACUUCGGGAAACCGGAGCUAAUACCGGAUAAUAUUUUGAACCGCAUGGUUCAAAAGUGAAAGACGGUCUUGCUGUCACUUAUAGAUGGAUCCGCGCUGCAUUAGCUAGUUGGUAAGGUAACGGCUUACCAAGGCAACGAUGCAUAGCCGACCUGAGAGGGUGAUCGGCCACACUGGAACUGAGACACGGUCCAGACUCCUACGGGAGGCAGCAGUAGGGAAUCUUCCGCAAUGGGCGAAAGCCUGACGGAGCAACGCCGCGUGAGUGAUGAAGGUCUUCGGAUCGUAAAACUCUGUUAUUAGGGAAGAACAUAUGUGUAAGUAACUGUGCACAUCUUGACGGUACCUAAUCAGAAAGCCACGGCUAACUACGUG
rnacentral:rRNA from 1 species